CUUUUUCUUCGAUUUGAGCUCUCAGAAAAAAUAACGCUGUUAUCCCUAAGGUAAUUUUUUCUCUUAAUCUAUAUUAUAGGAUCAAAUAAAUUAUAAUCUCCAUUUAGCAAUGUUUUUAUUAAAAAAAAGUUAAUCAAAUUUUUCAAUCACCCCAACUUAAUUCUUUCUUCCCCAAAACAGCAAUAUUCUAAUACAAGUUUCGGAAAACAAAAAAUAAAACUCUAUAGGGUCUUCUCGUCUUUCAUAAAUAUUUAAGCUUUCUUACUUAAAAAUAAAAUUCAAAAAAUUUAAAUUGAGACAGUAGUUUUUUCAUCAAACCCUUCAUUCCAGCUUCUAAUUAAGAAACUAAUGAUUAUGCUACCUUAGCACAGUCAAAAUACUGCGGCCAUUUAA
rnacentral:rRNA from 1 species